AUUGAACGCUGGCGGCAGGCCUAACACAUGCACGUCGAGCGGAGCGGCGGACGGGUGAGUAAUGCCUAGGAAUCUGCCUGGUAGUGGGGGAUAACGUCCGGAAACGGGCGCUAAUCCCGCAUACUAUCAGACCAGCCUAGGUCGGAUUAGCUAGUUGGUGGGGUAAAGGCCUACCAAGGCGACGAUCCGUAACUGGUCUGCGAGGAUGAUCAGUCACAGUGGAACUAAGAGACGGUCCAGACGCCUACGGGAGGCAGCAGUGGGGAAUAUUGGACAAUGGGCGAAAGCCUGAUCCAGCCAUACCGCGUGUGUGAAGAAGGUCUUCGGAUUGUAAAGCACUUUAAGUUGGGAGGCGUUACCAACAGAAUAAGCACCGGCUAACUACGUGCCAGCAGCCGCGGUAAUUC
rnacentral:rRNA from 1 species